UACGUAGGGUGCGAGCGUUGUCCGGAAUUAUUGGGCGUAAAGAGCUCGUAGGCGGUUUGUUGCGUCGGCCGUGAAAACCUGCAGCUUAACUGUGGGCCUGGGGCCGAUACGGGCAGACUUGAGUUCGGUAGGGGAGACUGGAAUUCCUGGUGUAGCGGUGAAAUGCGCAGAUAUCAGGAGGAACACCGGUGGCGAAGGCGGGUCUCUGGGCCGAUACUGACGCUGAGGAGCGAAAGCGUGGGGAGCGAACAGG
rnacentral:rRNA from 1 species